GCAGUGGUGGCUCAGUAGUAGACUUCUUGCCUUCUCUGCAGGAGACCUGGGUUUGAUUCCUGGCCAAUGCA
rnacentral:tRNA from 1 species